AAGAGAGCUUGCACAACUGUGACAGUUCAGGGCACAGAAGCCCAGGGCCCCCUGAGGUCCCAGGCUUAGUGAACAGAAGCUCUAGCCGAGAAGGAAAAUAACUAUCCUGGACAUUUUUAUGGACCAAGUCUUUUACAUAAUUCUUUCAUUUCCACAAUAACUGUGGAGAGGAGGAAGUGAAGUUGGAUGAAGAUCCCAUCUGAGAAGAGGAUCAGUGUGGUGCCCAGGAUUGAGGAGCUCUGUGUCAUCAAAACUGGUGUUAGCAUCCUGGACAGCAGCAAAGGACCGUCCUAACUCUAACAGAGGAGAACCCCAGUCUGCUCAAAUAUGCCCGGCUUCUAGAGGCACAUAGGUAUCCACAAAAACCCAGCGAAGGCAUAUGGAGGACAGGACAUCCUACAAGUUCCAAGUCAAUGACGCUCAAGAUCUUCAUUACUGAUCUGGUGUACUGUGUGCUGUAUGCACAUCUUCACACAGACCUUAAAUCAUUUCUAAAUUAUUUGAAUCAACUAACACAAGAGAAAGAGUUGUUACUAUAUUAUUUAAAGGGUGAUGACAUGGAGAUUCUAUACGUGUUCAAUAUAGAUAUAAUUUUUGAAAGGUUUCAGUCUGUGUUUGCUCAUAUGCACAAAUGCAGAACACUGAGAUACAGAGUCAAUACCACACGUGGAAGGGAUUCAUGGAAGGUGAUGAAUGGGUGGGAAAUUUCUGAGCAAUGUGGUCUAGGAUUUUUCAUCCCUUAGAGGGUGCUGUGUGGAGGAAGUAACACAAUAUCCCUAUUUCUACCCAAAAAGGAGGAUCAUUUGGCACUCUGGUCACUUUUGGACAUCUCUGGGAUGACCUCCUGUGACCAUAUGAUUUGUGCAUAGUUGCAGAUUCCAAACAGGGCAAACUUGCUCAGCCUUCCUUGGGUGGUCUUAGAGAGCUGGAGGUCAAUAUGAGGAACUGAAGGGGAGCCCACUUGCAGGGGUUAUGGGAAGAACUUUGCCCUUUGGGAAGAAAACAAACAGAAUUUAACAGCAAGAGCAGAGACUUUAUUCCAUCUCCACCACAACCAGAUCACUGAACACCUACUGCAUGC
rnacentral:lncRNA from 1 species